CUCUAGAAGACUUUGGAGUGCCAUGAGGACAAGAAAACAAGAGGAAUAGACUUUGUCAGGGAGGAACAGCCAAGGAAGACUUCUCUGAGUACCUCAUUGUGGCCACCAGUACUUGGGUGGGUACCAGUGUUGAUUGAGAUCCAGCUCACUGGCUACACAGGAUCAACUGUCUGAGGACUUCAGACCUUUUGAAAGAUAAAGAUUACCCCAGAAUCAUGGAGACAUUGAGAUGGAAGGGUUGGAGAGCGUGUGCUGGAGAGCACUGUGCCGAUGGAGAGGCUGAGCCCCAGGUAAGGACUUCUGACACGGGUGUGACAGCAAUCAGGCAGGAAGAUGACCGUUCUCUCGUGGUCUCAGCUGGUCCCUCUUGAGUUUCUGAAGCAGAAACUCUGUCCUCUGCUAUCCUCAUACAAGUUGGCCAUAUCUUCCAUCUGCCUUCAGUUUAGUUCAAGAAACACUUGCUCCGUAUGGACUAGUUAAAUGAAUAAAGGAAGGAAUCUGUACUCUGAACCAGGCAGAGUGCUAUAGGUAAGGUAGUGUGGCAGAAAUGGCUGCUUAUGUUCCAGUGUCCACUCUCCCCUCUUCCCGUGGUAACAGAAUUUGUAGCUGGACAAAUAGGGCCACUCAGUAUAAAGAUCUCAUUCCCCAGUUUCCCUUGCAACCAGAUGUGACUGUGUGAUUUAGCUGUGGCCAGUGGGAUAUAGGCCGUAUCUUGGACCAGAAGUGCCAGGUAACAGGUUCCUGGAACAUCACUUAAGAGAGCUGCUUCCCUUUUGUUUGUGCCCUUUAUUCUGCUCCCUGGAAUCCUGAUGCUGCCAUCUUGGACCUUGGGGAUGAGGGACUAAAAGGAGGUUCCUGUGGGUCUCCUGCAGCCAAGUCGCCCUAGCAGCCCUGAUCAGCAGCCUCCAGACUUCAUAUGUGAGAGAGGGUAAUCUUCUGCUUAUUUAAGCUACUGUUAUUCUGGGUUUUUUAGGCAUUCAGAGCU